ACCAGAACUACGGCAACCAGCCCAAGCACCACUUCGAGCUCCAGGAAAGCUGUGUGAUGCUGAAUAGACUGCUCAACCUCUCUGAGGCUGGUGUUCUUAUCUUCAAACGGGGAUAAAAGAUCUACCAGUCUAGGUGAGUGUGCACAACAAAUGGUAUAUUCAUUUGCUAGGGCUUCAGUAAGAAAAUAGGACAAACUGGGUGGCUUAAAACUGCAGGAAUUUACUGUCUUAUCAUCCUGCAGGCUAGAAGUCUGAAAUCAAGGCAUCGGGAGGCCAUGCUCCAAGACUCUGAGUGGAACCCUCUUUGCCUUUUCCUGACUUCUGGUGGUGCCGGCGGCCCUUGAUGUUCUUGGCUCUUUAAGCAUCUCUGCAACCUCUGCCAUCAUCUUCACACAGCGCCCUCCCUGUGCAUCUCUGUCUUCAUACGAUGUUUUCUUCUUUUCAUGAGGACAGCAGUUAUAUUGGGCUACAAUCCACCCUACUCUAAUAUGGCCUCAUCUAAUCAUACCUGCAAUGACUCUAUUUUUAAAUAAAGCCACAUUCAGAGGUACCCAGUUUAGGACAUGAACUUUUCGGGAGACACAGUUCAACUCAUCACAGAAAAUAAUCAGGGGUCUGGACAUUCUGUGUCAAUGAGAUUGAGCCACUAGUUGUUAAUAGUAUUUCACUCAUCUCUGCUGAUAUUUUUAAAGAACAUGUGAAAGGGGUGAGGUAUCUGAUAGAAAGCCCUCCCUCAUGUAAUUGAUGAGAUAAGGGUUCUAAUUUUCCCCACAGAAGUUAUAAAGAGCACCUGAGCUGUCAGCCAAAUCAAAUUGCCAGUGGAAAGCAGGUGAACCUAAGGAAGCCAUGGGGGUGAGACGUGCCUGGGCAUGCCCUGUUCAUGGUGGCACCGACCCACACAGCAUUCAUAGAAUUCAUACCUUCCCGGAGCUGGCGUGACUCCUGGGAGACCACAGUUUCUGAGAAAAUAGAAAGCCAAGUGUAAACUGGACUGGUCACAAAGACUCCGCAGGGAGCUGGCUGCAGACACCCACUCAGUCCAGUCCUGUGGGCACACAGUUGGGUCUUAGGGGAAAAAGAAAG
rnacentral:lncRNA from 1 species